rnacentral:rRNA from 1 species
AGUGAACGCUGGCGGUAGGCCUAACACAUGCAAGUCGAACGGCAGCACAGUAAGAGCUUGCUCUUACGGGUGGCGAGUGGCGGACGGGUGAGGAAUACAUCGGAAUCUACUUUUUCGUGGGGGAUAACGUAGGGAAACUUACGCUAAUACCGCAUACGACCUACGGGUGAAAGCAGGGGAUCUUCGGACCUUGCGCGAUUGAAUGAGCCGAUGUCGGAUUAGCUAGUUGGCGGGGUAAAGGCCCACCAAGGCGACGAUCCGUAGCUGGUCUGAGAGGAUGAUCAGCCACCCUGGACCUGAGAACCGUUCCAGCCUCUUAGGGGAGGCAGCGGUGGGGAAUUUUGGACAAUGGGCGCAACCCUGACCAGCCAUACCGCGUGGGUGAAGAAGGCCUUCGGGUUGUAAAGCCCUUUUGUUGGGAAAGAAAAGCAGCAGGUUAAUACCCCGCUGUUCUGACGGUACCCAAAGAAUAAGCACCGGCUAACUUCGUG